UUGUGAUUCUCUUUUAUUUAUGCAGAACCCUAACUUCCUCCUCUUAUUUACUUUUCCUUCACUUCUACAUAUCAGAAGAGUAAUUCCUCCCUCUCAAUUUAUCUUUUGUUUUCUUCCAGAAGUAAUGCUUAUUCAAGACUGCCACCUCAAGUUUUGCUGAAUUCUCUGUCACUGGUGCUGUCAUCCACCAAGUUCCAGAUUUGUUUUUACUGUAAGAGGAUUCUUCAUAUCUACGGUAGCAUCCAUGCCGGCUAAGGUUAUGUCCACCACAUCAGAGAACAGGCUCAUGGCAUCAGCACUUGAUUAUGUGCUAUGUGGUCUUAAAAUUGAUUUGUGAGAGAACCUUGCUUCUAGAAUAAGAUGGAAUCCAGGACACAGAAGCCUGCUGUCUUUGAAAAUGCUGCUUACUACAUCUGGCAUCCUGGUACUUGGCUGCAUCCAACUUUAUAAAGGUAGUAUAAUUGCCAUUCAAAUGUAUAUUAUUGCCAAUAGAAAGAAAUCUGUGCUAUCACCUCCAAGCCAGUAAGCACCAAAUACACAGAAUGACCAGUUGUCAAUCAGUUCACCUUGGGAAAAGUGAGAGGCCAUAGAGCCAGUUGGGAACAGCAAGACAAGGCAAGCUAGAAGAAUAUCAAAGCCUGCUGUCCUCGUGCACGAGAGCUGGUCUAAUGCGAAAGCCAAGCAAUUAUGUGCCACCCAGUAUGACCCACACUGCUUCUUGAAUGAGAUCUAAUCAAAGAUAUUAACAUAUCUGAUGCAAGCGUGUGCCUGCUAGAAAUGAGGCUGUUCAAUCGCAGAAUCAUAAAGAAGGGAGAGGCAAAGAGAUAAACCCUGAGUGCCCCCGGUACUGUCCAGAACCCAGCCCAUGAGCGUGAAUGCCUCAUCCAUGCAGCAGGUGGAGCCCUGCAGUGAAGGAGGGGGUGACGUGCUGGCAUGAUUGAAUGAUGGUGAACAGAGGGAACUGCCUGGCCCCCGGCCCCCAUCAUGUGUUCACAGGAGCUCUCAAUGUCUUGGAGCUCUAGGUAGUAGCUCUUUUCUUCCAAACUCUAUAGUUUCCUAAGGGGUCAGAACCCUCUGGCCAAGGGAUGAACACUCCUCAGAGCUUUAGUUGUGAGCGCUGGAUUUUCUCUUGCUCCUCCCCUUUAUCCUGAGUCUCACCCUUUUCCCCAUUUUUCAAGUCUCUUUUCUAGUGCCAGAUUUUCUUCUGAGAUUUUUUCCUCAGCUUCUUUCUUGCCCUGUCUUCUGGCUGUCCAAAUACUUAGCUGCCUCAGUCAUUUUAUAAAUUAGGUGGGACAUAAAUGAAUAGGCCACAUGCUGACUUCUAUCACUCACAUUCCUUCCGGUUUCCCACCAGUUUUCCAUGCGGGAACAUGGCUUCCUUCCCUCCCAUUUCUCUCUGAAUUUUGGCUGAAGGACAUUGGCACAUUUCCUAUCGAUUGACUGAAUACUCAACAGGCAGGGUAUUCUUUCACAUCUACUUUUUCUUUAUUUUAAAAAAUUACAGCACAGAAGUAUAUAAAGGUAAAUAGUAUUUAAAGUAUAUAAAAUGCAAAGUAAAAGUUCUCUGCUUUUAUAACAUCUUCCGUAUUCUCUGGACAUAUUCCCAGGUAACUGGUGUGUAUACUGUUGGACCUCUUCGCAGCUCUGCAGGUGACAUAUAUUUACCUAUACAUGCAAUGGAGAGGGUUUUCUUAAUAAGCCCCUAUCUGCAAACAGUGGAUUAAAAAUUACAAUGUCUGAUUUAACACUGGUCAAAAAAAAUAAUUUUAACUAAUAUUUCUCAAUUUUUUUAUGACCCACAGUAAGAAACACAUCUUACAUCACAACCCAGUGCACAGAUACCUGUGUAUAUGUAAAAAAGGAAACUGUGUUUAUGAAACAUAACCCUUGCCUUUACGGUGUUCAAUUCACUCUAAUGCUUUCUGUUCUUUCUAUUUUUGUGUGUGUGUGUGAGGAAUACUGUU